GAUGAACGCUGACAGAAUGCUUAACACAUGCAAGUCAACUUGAACUUCGGUUUGGGUGGCGGACGGGUGAGUAACGCGUAAAGAACUUGCCUCACAGUUAGGGACAACAUUUGGAAACGAAUGCUAAUACCUGAUAUUAUGAUUUUAGGGCAUCCUAGAAUUAUGAAAGCUAUAUGCGCUGUGAGAGAGCUUUGCGUCCCAUUAGCUAGUUGGAGAGGUAACGGCUCACCAAGGCGAUGAUGGGUAGCCGGCCUGAGAGGGUGAACGGCCACAAGGGGACUGAGACACGGCCCUUACUCCUACGGGAGGCAGCAGUGGGGAAUAUUGGACAAUGGACCAAGAGUCUGAUCCAGCAAUUCUGUGUGCACGAUGAAGUUUUUCGGAAUGUAAAGUGCUUUCAGUUGGGAAGAAAAAAAUGACGAUACCAACAGAAGAAGAGACGGCUAAAUACGUG
rnacentral:rRNA from 1 species